rnacentral:rRNA from 1 species
CAAUAGCGUAUAUUUAAGUUGUUGCAGUUAAAAAGCUCGUAGUUGGAUUUCGGGUGUGAACGACCGGUCCGUCUUUGAUGUGUACUGGUUGGUUGCGCCUUAUUGUCGAGGACGUGGUUCUAGCUUUCAUUAGCCGGGACACGGAGUCGGCAGCGUUACUUUGAGAAAAUUAGAGUGUUCAAAGCAGGCUAUCGCUCUGAAUACUACAGCAUGGAAUAACACGAUAGGACUCCGAGCCUAUUCUGUUGGUCUUCGGGACCGGAGUAAUGAUUAAGAGGGACAGUUGGGGGCAUUCGUAUUCCGUUGUCAGAGGUGAAAUUCUUGGAUUUACGGAAGACGAACUACUGCGAAAGCAUUUACCAAGGAUGUUUUCAUUAA